rnacentral:lncRNA from 1 species
UAUAAUUAUAAUAUAUAUAAAUUGUCUUUACUUAGUCUACUAAUUUCUUAAUAAAUAAACAUGUUUUUAUUAUUUUUUUAGAAAAAUUAAAAUUACGAUGUCAGGUAAUAAAUUAUUUCGAUCUGUUAAAAUAUUUUCUCCUAAACCGUCUUUUUUUGUAGAUAAUGUGGAACUUAGUGUGGCUAAGUACUAAUAGUAUGAGUAAUGGUGUUCUUUUUAGUAUAUAUGAAAAUAACAAUGAAGGAAACAUUGUGCUGUUUGAUUUUUCGAACUGUUGUCUGUUCUAUACUUUGGACUGUUGUUCUAUGCGUUUAUUGUGAACAACUACAGUUUACCUUCAAAGAUUUAUUGAGAUCUUACUCGAUCAGUUAAAUUUAUCAUAAGUCAACAGGAUAACUUGGAAUUCUACACAGUUUUACCCAACAGCAGCAUUAAAACAACAUUAGAUUUAGCUUACAAAGCUUUUUUCAAAGCAAGAGUGGUAGGAAAACAGUUAACUAAAUCUGCAAUUAUUUUUUCGUAAUUUCUUAGUCUACUAAUUGUAAAUUCAGUUGAAUGUUUUUUUUUUUUUUUUUUUUUUUGUAUAUAUUUUUUUUUUUA